rfam:Ophiophagus hannah scaffold2890.1, whole genome shotgun sequence.
GCUUUGGCUCUUUUCAGAGCCACCAAUAGGAAGAACUCAACACAGG